CAUCUGCUAUACGAUUUUUGCUCAAAGCAAAUACAUAGAAAUAUUAUAGAGGCCUCAAGCAUCGACUGGUGAAUAUUUCUCGAAAGUCGUUGUUGCUUAUCAGAGAGCGAUCUGCGUUUACUAUUCUCUGUCGUACUUCGCUGAUCCUAUCUUACCAAUCCUAUGGACUUGUAGCGCCUGAAGUAAAACCAGCCGAUAAGUAUAAUACAUCCGGGCUUGGGAUCCCCUGUGGAUUGGUGAAAGCAACGAGCAGACAGUGAACUAGAGACCAAAGUCCUCCAUAUCAAUGAUGCGAUAUCCAGAACAAUGUGAUAAUCUAUGUAUGUACAGAGUUGAGUCAAGACGUUCCUAUUGCCUUCGGCAGGGUAAGGCUAUAUGCGUCAAAUUUACCGAGCGCUACCGUUAAAAAGGCACCGACUUUAGGACUUCUCGUGCACUAGAUUCACCAUAGCUGCUCGGAAUAUAUAAGGCACUUGGACACGUUCGAUAGACAGCCUAAAAAUUCGUCGCAGAGAGAUACAGAUUGAGGCGUCGAGUCUUUUAGGUAACCAGAUGUAAGUGUAUCAGUAUGAAGAGGAGAGCAAAGCGCAACCUUCCCAGUAUCGGCUCGUAAAAACAAACACCGACCGAAUGGAUUCGUACCAUCCAAGUACAAAACCAAGAGAUUUGUCACGGCGACCGCUGAGGAAUUGUUCUUCAUAAGUUCGUGUCGUGCGGCUUCAUGGUCAUCAAGAACUGCUAUCAAGAAGUUCUAAAAUGAUUACGCAAAUCUGUCCGACGCAAGAGAACAAAACUGUGGCACCACAAAGUAUGGGUUCUCCAUUUCGACAACACACUGGCAUACGCCUUGUUACUGAUACAACAAUUCUUGAGAAAAACUUGGUGUAUGUAUUGCUUCAGUCUCCGGAUUCACUGAACUCCCCUAGUCUGAAACCUAAAGGGAAAGCAGAAGAGAUAAAACGAAAAUUACUGACCAAUCUGAGGGACUAUUCCGGCGAUUAGGUUUUUUGGAUUGGAAAGCAUAACUGUGUUACGUUCGGCAGGGAGUACUUCGAAAGCAACAACUU